GAUGAACGCUGGCGGCGUGCCUAAUACAUGCAAGUCGAGCGAACAGAUGAGGAGCUUGCUCCUCUGACGUUAGCGGCGGACGGGUGAGUAACACGUGGAUAACCUACCUAUAAGACUGGGAUAACUUCGGGAAACCGGAGCUAAUACCGGAUAAUAUAUUGAACCGCAUGGUUCAAUAGUGAAAGACGGUUUUGCUGUCACUUAUAGAUGGAUCCGCGCCGCAUUAGCUAGUUGGUAAGGUAACGGCUUACCAAGGCAACGAUGCGUAGCCGACCUGAGAGGGUGCUCGGCCACACUGGAACUGAGACACGGUCCAGACUUCUACGGGAGGCAGCAGUAGGAAAUCUUCCGCAAUGGGCGAACGUCUGACGGAGACACGCCGCGUGAGUGAUGAAGGUCUUCGGAUCGUAAAACUCUGUUAUUAGGGAAGAACAAAUGUGUAAGUAACUAUGCACGUCUUGACGGUACCUACUCAGAAAGCCACGGCUAACUACG
rnacentral:rRNA from 1 species